rnacentral:rRNA from 1 species
UACAGAGGUCUCAAGCGUUUGUUCGGAUUCAUUGGGCGUAAAGGGUGUGUAGGUGGCGCGCUAAGUCGGGUGUGAAAUUUCGGAGCUUAACUCCGAAACUGCAUUCGAUAACUGGCGUGCUUGAGGACUGGAGAGGAGACUGGAAUUCAUGGUGUAGCAGUGAAAUGCGUAGAGAUCAAUGAGGAAGACCAGUGGCGAAGGCGGGUCUCUGGA